rnacentral:rRNA from 1 species
UACGUAGGGAGCAAGCGUUGUUCGGAUUUACUGGGCGUAAAGGGCGCGUAGGCGGCGCGGUAAGUCACUUGUGAAAUCUCUGAGCUUAACUCAGAACGGCCAAGUGAUACUGCAGUGCUAGAGUGUAGAAGGGGCAAUCGGAAUUCUUGGUGUAGCGGUGAAAUGCGUAGAUAUCAAGAGGAACACCUGAGGUGAAGACGGGUUGCUGGUCUAACACUGACGCUGAGGCGCGAAAGCCAGGGGAGCAAACGGGAUUAGAUACCCCGGUAGUCCUGGCCCUAAACGAUGAAUACUUGGUGUCCGGGGUUUCAAGACCCUGGGUGCCGUCGCUAACGUUUUAAGUAUUCCGCCUGGGGAGUACGCUCGCAAGAGUGAA